rnacentral:misc_RNA from 1 species
GUGAAUCAUCGAAUUUUUGAACGCAAAUUGCGCUUCCUGGUAUCCCGGGAAGUAUGCCUGUUUGAGGGUCAGUAUUAACAAAAAAUCGGGUGGGUUGCAAAUUGUGACGUUUCCGGAGGUUGUGCGGAUCUUAACUUUUUGGGUUAAUGGGCUUAAAAUUGACCUUUUUUGCGUAUUUUUAGACGUACAUAUAUUUUUUUUUAUUCGUCUAUUCUUAAUGCCAAG